rnacentral:sRNA from 1 species
UCCUAGCCCCGAUUGAAGCAAUUGUUUGAGCUCUUUUUUGUUUUUUUCAAACAAAAAAAGCGAGUGCGGAAAGCGGGAAAUAGC